CAUCGGCGGGCUCGGCACCCAGUAUUCCCUGCCCAGCGUGCAGGCCGCCACCGACCUCGCCGACUACCUCUGGUUCGCCUUCCUAGCCGGCCACCGCAAGGGCGUCCACCGCCCGUUCGGCGACGCCGCGGAGCUCGACGGCAUCGACCUGUUCAUCGACCAGGGCCCGCCGGACUACUACGACGUGCUGGCGCGCCGGCUGUGGAGCUACAACAAGGACUUCCGCGGCCGCACGCCGGCGCAGCUGUCGGCGACGCCGCGGUGCCGGUACCCGGACCCGCGGCUGGAGCGGGCGCUCGCCACGGGGGUCGUCACACGCAUCAACGUCAGGUUCUACGGCGCCGACGGGUACUGCGCCGCCUACUGGCAGCUGGAGUGGGACAAGUGGACGGCGGCGUACCCCAACUCCAUGAUCUACGUGGGGCUGCCGGCGUCGGAGCAGACGGUGGGCUACGUGCACCCCAAGAAC
rnacentral:lncRNA from 1 species